rnacentral:tRNA from 1 species
GGGGGUGUAGCUCAGCUGGGAGAGCGCCUGCCUUGCACGCAGGAGGCCAUCG